GGGGUGCAGGGAGCCCAGGAGGGGAGCCCUGGACCGGCACCCAACUGUGCUUCUCUCCUGCCCGAGCUGGGGGAGCCUCGGGAACCCCCAAACAGCAAACCAGCCCAACGUGGACGCUCUCCGCUGGGAUUUCGUUUUGGGGGAGCCGGAACACCUGUCCGCUGAUCGCCUGCCACUCCGCAUCUGGGCCCGGCUGACAGGCUUGUCUGCUUUGACUAAUGAUGUGAUUGAUGGACAAAAUAAGGAAGAACAUACAAAAAAACAUUUCUGUCUGGUCUGGUGUGUCAGCAAGCCUUCAUCAAGUGGCUGCUGAAGGCUAAACAUGUGGAAAAUGCCACAGAGCUGAUGCCAGGAUCAUCUCACUCAGCAAACCGAGUAUUCAUAACCUCGCUCCGAUGGCCUGCUGUGGAUGGGGUGACAUUCAUGAGAAUUACACAUGCCACGCUGUCGCCUCUUUGUGCAUAUAAUAAUGAUCUGAAAAUCAGUUCUGGCUGGAACACGAGGGAGGCAAAGAACUGCUUCACUCGGAUAACAAGACACGUGUGAGUUAGAGAUCAUGCUUAAAAACCAGAGAGAAAGUGGGGAAGUUCUUGGCCUGAUUUUUUCCCCUUCUCUUUCUUUAUUGGGCCACAGAAUUCCUACUUUAUUUUAUGUAAAGUAUUUGAAUUCUCCUUGAUAUUUAUUUUUCUUCCUUCUUUCUUUCUUUCUUUCCUUCCUUCCU